rnacentral:rRNA from 1 species
CAGUCGCCGCGGGAAUACGUAGGUGGCGAGCGUUGUCCGGAAUUAUUAGGCGUAAAGGGAGCGCAGGCGGGCGAGUAAGUCUUUCUUAAAAGUGCGGGGCUCAACCCCGUGAGGGGAGAGAAACUACUCAUCUUGAGUGCAGGAGAGGAAAGCGGAAUUCCUAGUGUAGCGGUGAAAUGCGUAGAUAUUAGGAAGAACACCAGUGGCGAAGGCGGCUUUCUGGACUGUAACUGACGCUGAGGCUCGAAAGCCAGGGGAGCGAACGGGAUUAGAUACCCGCGUAGUCCCUGUCUCUUAUACC